UUUGCCAUUGACACAUCCAUGUAGAAACAGCCAACAGAGAGUUAGAGGCUGAGCCUGGAGACAGAGUGGGAGAUCCAAUCACCCAAGCCCUAGAGACAUGAGUGAGGAUACAUGGACGAACUUAGAGUCUAGGGAUAUGUUAAAACAACUUCUAGUUAUCACUUAGUUUAUAACAAUUGGCUUCUAAGACUGUGGGCAUCUACAGAGACAGUGACAUCACUGUGGGAACUACCGUGUGGGGACAAGGACGUCCCUCCUCCUCUGCUCCUGCUCAGAGUGAUCCUGAACUGUUGACCCUCCCAUCCUUCCUGACCCCACCAUGGGCACCAGGCUUCUCUACUGGGUGGCCCUCUGCCUCCUGGGGACAGGUGAGUCCUCAGAAUACAGGGAUCUCCACAUUGGAUCUCCCAGGGGUUAUUCCAAUCAUUUCCUUUUUUUCUAUUUUCAAAUUCUGUCUUUUCCCCCACCAGAUCUCACAGAAGAAGCUGGAGUCACUCAGUCCCCCAGACAUAAGAUUACAGAAAAAAGACAGUCUGUGGCCUUUUGGUGUGAUCCUAUUUCUGGGCACAUUACCCUUUCCUGGUACCGGCAGACCCUGGGAAAGGGCCUGGAGUUUCUGAUUCAGUAUCAGAAUGAGGCCGUAGCAGAUGAUUCAGGCUUGGCUAAGGAUCGAUUUUCUGCAGAGAGGCCCAAAGGAGCAAACUUCACUCUCAGGAUCCAGCAGGCAGAGCUGGGGGAUUCGGCCACGUAUCUCUGUGCCAGCAGCCCAGCCACAGCGUUGCAUAGACACUUCCCUCCUGUGCACAAAACCGCACUGUUCUCCUCUCUCUGCUCAGUGUGCAUGAGCCCUAGACAGAGCCUUACCCUACCCAAGGGAAAGAAGUGGGUUUGCAGAUAUAAGCUAUCAUUUAUAUAACGGGCAGGCAUGAAAUCUUUCUUUCUUAAAACCUGAGGGCCACAAAUGUUGUUUGAAAAUAAUUAUGAUUCAGGGAUUUGAAGCACAUUUCGGUGACAACUCAAGAAACCAAAACUGAAAGUGACUUAUCAUAGACUCAGUCCUCAGGGGUAGUGACAGUUAGAUUCUUAGUCUGUGAUUUGUUUGACAUUUCACUUAAAUGACAUAGAGAUAUUAUACGUAAAGUUUGAUUUCAAC